UUUUUUUUUUUUUUUUUUUUUUAUUGCAAGGUAGAGUUAGAGUGUGAGAGAGAACCUCCAUCCACUGGUUCGCUCCCUGGUCAAAACAGCAUGGGCUGGGCUGGGCCAAAGCUAGGAGCUUCUUCUGGGUCUCCCAUGUGGGUGCAGGACCCAAAUACUUGGACCAUCCUCCACUGUUUUCCCAUGUGCACUAGCAGGAAGCUGGAUUGGAAGUGGAGCAGCUGGGACACACACUGGCACUCACGGGAUGCGAGUCGCAGGCAGAGGCUAACCCACUAUGCCAAAGGCCAGUCCCAAGGACCUGUAUUCUAGAUGAAGCUAUGCUGAUGGGGCUACAGUCACGUCCUGGAGGAGGGGCCUCCCCAUUGGAAAGGGUGUGAUGUUUCAGCAAACAGCUCCUGCAGUGGGCAUCCGGCAGAGUUAUACAGAGAGAGGUCUUCCAUCUGCUGCACGGAUCCAAGGCCAGGAGCCAGGAGCUUCCUCUGGGUCGCCUAUGCAGGUGCAGGGGCCCAAGGACUUGGGCCAUGUUCCACUGCUUUCCCAGGCCACAGCAGAGAGCUGGAUCAGGAGUGGAGCAGCCAGGACUCCUACUGGUGCCCACGUGGGAUGCCGGCACUGCAGGUGGCGGCUUUACCUGCUACACCACAGCGCUGGCCUCAGGGUUUCCCUCUUUAGCCUGUACCUGGAAGGCAGGCGUUUACCCAGGGCUGCCCCACCUGAAUCUCAUGGGACAGAGGAAGAACCAGUCCUCGUCACCUGCCCCUUCUUCCAGCCAGGUCAGUCCCAGCUGCCCAGGGGGCACUUCCUGCUGCCUCCUGUGCCUGCUGCUUCAGGGUCAAGUGUUCACCCAGCCCAGGAGCAGAGACAGAUGCCGGGGCUCCCGGGAGCCAGGCGGGACCAGGGCAGGUGGAAGCUGCCAAAGGCUGGGGAUGAGCCCGCCGAGGAGCUCAGAGGUUCACUCCUUGUCUUCUGGAGACUGUUCAACUGAUUGCAGGAAAAAUCAACAGACACAAACCGUUUUCUACUGAAAUGUUAUUAUUCGCCAUUGAGCACAGCAAACUACACUACUGAGAAGGACAUCCUCUUCAGAGCCUCGUGAGCAAGAGAGAGCUCCCCUUUGGUCCAUGCUGGAGACCCUGAGGAGAGGGUGACUGACCCCACCUCCCUCCUGCCCCACCCGCUGCAGCUGAGGGAGGCCGGGAGGAAAAGUGAAAGAAGAGAAAAUAAAUUAGGUUAGUGCUUGGAGCUAGGGAGUCCUCUGCUGCCUCACUGGGCCGGGCGGAGCUGCCAGCCACAGCCGGAUGUCCCCGGAGACGAGCCGAGCUGAGCUCCAGCCCCAGCCAUCAGCUGCCGAGCUCCCACCCCGUCUACACUUCCGAGUGGACAGAAAGCUCUCCCAACAGAUCCAGGCAGCAUGGCCCCAAUGGCAUGGGGUAAAAGGGCAGGUGCCGAAAGAGGCGCCCAAGUGGGUCUGGAACCACAGCUGGAAUCCACGAGCACUCUGGCUCCAGAACUCAAAGCUGCAGUGACCCCUGCAGGCAAGUGCCACUCCCCCGUCCCCAUCCCAGCAUGGCCACCAAGCAGUGAGGGUGAGGGGAAGCUGGGUGUGGCAGCUGGAGACACCUGGGACAGGCUGCCUGUGGCCAGGCCACCACGCGGUCCUGGCAGGCAGCCGGCGCUGCACUUCCCACACAGCUGGUCUGGACACUGUUGUCUCCAAAGCGAGGAGGAACUCUGCUGUGACUCCGCCUGAUCUCCCGCGAGGUGACCCUGGAUACACCACACUGGGCAGAGGCCAUGGCCCGAGAGCUAGCCUGUCCACGGGCACCGGGCCACAGCGCAGCCACCGCUGUCCCUCACGUGCCAACCUGCAGGGCUGCCACGACUGACUCGUGUCUGUGGAACAACUUCAAACAGGGCUUUAAUUCCACACCAACCACAGACCCAGGCGCCAGGCAGCAGCAGCCCUGAAGCCAACGAAGACGGCCGGACUGGCAGGGCCCCGGGGGCUGCAGCAGUUCCAGGCCCAGCUGCACCAGGCUGUCUAGCAGCUCUUCUUGUGCACGCUGACUCCAAGAAGGCAGGUCUGACUCCAAGAAGGCAGGUCUCAGGGCGGCAGUCCUCGGCCCACCGGCAGAGUGGGGUGGUCCAGGGCACAGGCGCUCAGCGGGCGGGCAGGCUGAUGGCACCCGGCGAGGCCUGCCGAAGCCAUUUCCCAACGCAGGAUCUUCAAAGGGACAAGAUUUCAAAGUCCUCAUCCUCUGAGUCAAAGAAUCUUUCUAGUCGCUCUACAUCAGAAGACUCUAGAAGGAACAAGAUAGACCCUCGUCAGCGAUCUCACCCUCAGGAAGAACCCCUGCAAGGAAAUGAUGAUGUCACUGAAUGAAAGCCCUGCGGUGAACAGCAGCGGCAGCCGGCAGCCGGCGGCACCGGCCUGGAUUUCCCUACAGAAUGCGACAUCAGGUGCGCUCUCCAAGCCUCCCUGACGCCCACAGACGAAGCAGUCACCAGUCUGCUCCACAGCCGUGUGCUGAGCCCACUCCUCCCUUGGCGGAGGCCGGAUUCCCAGUGUGACCACACACCCCCGUGGUGAGCCACUGACCCACACACGUGCUCGCCCACGUGCCUCCCUUCAGUGAGAUGAGCAACUCAAAAGUAGGUUCACCUGGGCUGUGCGUGUGAGAAGCGUGUGCUCCAGGACUGAGCUGUGUCCAAGAGACCCUCUGGUUUUAGGACCAGACUCCUCUGAUGCUUUUUUUUUUUUUUUUUUUUUGACAUGCAGAGUGGACAGUGAGAGAGAGAGAGAGACAGAGAGAAAGGUCUUCCUUCCGUUGGUUCACCCCCAAUGGCCGCUGCGGCCAGUGCACCGCACUGAUCCGAAGCCAGGAGCCAGGUGCUUCUUCCUGGUCUCCCACACGUGCAGGGCUCAAGGACUUGGGCCAUCCUCUACUGCCCUCCUGUGCCACAGCAGAGAGCUGGACUGGAAGAGGAACAACCAGGACUAGAACCCGGGGUGCCGGCGCCACAAGGCGGAGGAUUAGCCUAGUGAGCCGUGGCGCCAGCCCCUCCAAUUCUUAAUAACAGAACUGAGAGAACCCCUCAGGUACAGCUGUUGCAUCCCCAGGCUGUCACUCUUCCCAGUUUUUCCUCUGGGUAGAGAAGGGGUAAAGGGUGGUCCUUCCCCACUGGGUCACUUUAGGGUGGGCAGCAAGACUUCACUGAGAGGCGGUGAGAGGAGCAGGACUAACAGUCACACUCACACACUCUUAUCAGCACACACCUACACACACACCCACUCACACACACACACUCCCAUCAGCACACGCCUACACACGCACCCACUCACACACACACACUCCCAUCAGCACACGCCAACACACGCACCCACUCACACACACUCCCAUCAGCACACGCCUACACACGCACCCACACUCCCAUCAGCAUACACCAACACAUGCACCCACUCACACACACUCCCAUCAGCACACGCCAACACAUAUACCCACUCACACACACACACUCCCAUCAGCACACACCUGCACACGCAUCCACUCACACACACACUCCCAUCAGCACACACCUGCACACGCAUCCACUCACACACACACUCCCAUCAGCACACGCCUACACACGCACCCACUCACACACACACACUCCCAUCAGCACACGCCAACACACGCACCCACUCACACACACUCCCAUCAGCACACGCCUACACACGCACCCACACUCCCAUCAGCAUACACCAACACAUGCACCCACUCACACACACUCCCAUCAGCACACGCCAACACAUAUACCCACUCACACACACACACUCCCAUCAGCACACACCUGCACACGCACCCACUCACACACACACUCCCAUCAGCACACACCUACACACACACCCAUACUCCCAUCAGCACAUGCCUACAUACGCACUCACACAAACUCCUAUCAGCACACACCUACACACGUACCCACACUCACACAUACACUCCCAUCAGUACAUGUUUACACACGCACCAACACUCCCAUCAGCACACACCUGCACACACACAUACACUCCCAUCAGUACAUGUUUACACACGCACCAACACCCCCCUCAGCACACGCCUGCACACACACCCACACUCAUACACUCCCAUCAGCACACGCCUGCACACGUACCCACACUCACACACACAUGGCUCUGCUGUCAGAAGGCUGGAGAGGACCUGAGUGGUCAGAUGACACAAGGACCUGCUGUGCCUUUAGACCAAACGUGAACAGAUACUGACUCCAAAAUGCUAAAAAAAUUUUUUAAAAAUCCAAGGCGCCCAUGCUCGUUCCAUACAGGAUCUGGUACAAAACGCCCCGCACGCGCCCGGUGGCCUUCGGGGCAGACGCACCACAGCGAUGGACGGGUCGAGCUCCCCGAUGCUCAUCCUGCAGGGCGGGUGUUGGCAGUGGAAGCUCUCGUCGGGAAUGAAGCAGAGGUCCGUCAGCUCCACGGCCGGCUGCGUCGUGUGGGGGUCCAGGUAGAUGAGCUCCUCACCUGGGCGAGACAGCAGCGGUCAGUGGGCAGCCACCCCGAGCCAGGCUGAGAGGCACGGGAGCAGGCAGACCCCAGACUGGACUCACCCACGUAGCCGAUGAAGUAGUGGGCGCUGUUGGGCUUCCCUCCGAUCACCCCCAGAGACUGGGGCAUCCUGAAGCAGUGCUGUGGGAGAGAGGCAAGGCACUGAGCACGCGAGGGACAGCAUCCACAUGCCGUGGCCAGCCGGCCGGGCACCCAACGGGCUAGAGCAGGAGGACAGAGAUGACGGGGUCUACAAAGUCGAAGCCCAGGAAGGACAGCACAGAACAGUCCACAGGCUCAAGAGCAGAGGCUGGGAGACCCCCUCACGGAAAAGCGGGCGAGCGACAGGGAAGGAGCCUGCUGACAGCGGCUGUGACCAGCUGGGGCCGGAGAACGCCAUGGACGCAGUCUGACGCGCUGAGUCGGGUGGGGAGGAGCAGAGAGCGAAACAGAACAGAGGCCCCCAGCAGGCUCAAGAACAGCAAGAGGGCUGGAGGCCGGGGCCGAGGCCACACCCAGCUCCUACAGUGAUGGCCUCGAACGUGACUUCUGGGUACGGCCCUGAGCUCACUGAAGGAGUGGGGAUGUGCUCGUCAGGGAUGGCAGUGGUCCUCGGGCACCCCCGGCCCUGCCCGCAGUCCCCUCCCACAGGCCGACCCUCCCAAGGGACAAGGACCCGGGAAGGAGAGCACGCCCUGAACGCCAGGACCCUCCAAGUAAGUUCUCAAGUCACCCUAAGUGUAGGAUCCCACACUUGCAAACAAAACUAGGAGGAGGCCCCUCCCACCUCAAGGGGCAGGUGAUGUGGUCCUGGCAGACGUGGCUGCCAGCCCCCAGGCUGGCCACUCACCUUCAGGGUCUCCACAUAGGCCUCGUUGAUGUCCGUGAGCCCCAGGCGCAGCGGGAUGAGAAGCACCAGGGGUCUCCAGGGCGACCUGUUGGUGACCUCGGUGCUGGCAGGGAACCCAUUGCAGUGCCAGUCGGCACCUGCAGGCGGGGUGGCGGCUCCUGCGCAGGGAUGGCUGCUCCUGCACAGUCUCCCUGCGGGGGAAGAGCUCACAGGCCAAGGAACCAGACCAAAGUUCUCCCGAAGAAGCAGAAAAAGUGAGCUAAAAAGCCAAGUGCUUAAAGAGCAACUCAAAUUUGGAAAACAGAAGUAUAAAAAGGCUAAUGUUUUAUAAUUCUGCCACCCACAGAGAAACGUUGCCUGUACAUAUUCAGUUUGAAACUUUAUUGUGAAAUGGAGCACACCCACAAAACGGCCAAGAGCUCCUGUGCCCGCCAGUCACCUGCCUGGCCACACACAGCUCACCACGCCCGGAUGCUGCUCAGCAGGAAGGCACCAGCACUAACUCCUCCUCCUUUCCUUACACCUCCGACCGCGGCAAAUGCAUUAACUGGCAGAGCGACUCCAGCCGUGGGGAACACGCACCUCCCCACUCAAGGCGGGGACACACAGGGGGAGCCUGGAGCAUCGGAGAUGGCACAAACAUGGGACAACCGAAAGGAAUGACAGGGGCUGGCAUUUGCCUAGCAGUUAAGACACCAGCUGGGAUGCUGCAGUGCCCGGAUUAGAGUCCUGGCCCUGGCUCCUCACUCCAGCUUCCUGCUGGGAGGCACUGGCGAUGGCUCAAAUGUCUACGUUCCUGCCUCACACGAGGAAAGCACAGAUUGAAUUCCCAGCUCCUGGCUUUGACCUGCCCAGCUCUGGCUGUUGUGGGCAUCUGGGGAGUGAAAGAGCAGGCAGGUGCUGUCUAUCGAAUUCGUUAAAGAAUGAGAGUAACCAUUAACACUGCAUAAAAAAGAAUCCAUGAAUCCGUGACCUCUGACAAAGCUUUUCCAAUACAGAUGGGGAAGGGGGCCCUUCUCAACAAUACCAGUCCAUAAAUAUGGAGGAAGACGAGGCAGAAAUCACCAAGUUCAGAUCCAUAUGUAAGAGACGAUUCACAUAAAACUCAUGCAUAUUAACGAUCACUCCCUGCUCAGUAAACGAGACCAGAGUACUUCAGCUUCCCCAGGUGACCCAAUGGAGCUCACUGACCCCAAGACAGGCGCCAGCUGCUACUCUUGAGCCAGAAGACCCCCAUCCAACUAUCAUGAAACAGACACAAAUCCAGGGGGCAGCACCCCAUUGAAGAAUCAGGUCAAGCUGAUGCUAUGGAAGACCAGAGAGGGAGGAGGAACUUUUUGGACUAAAGGACAGUAGAGAUGUGGCCACUACCUACACCCAAUGCUGGCCCCUUGAUCCAGCCAGCAAGCCAGCCCCCAAGGUGGUUCCUGGACAGUGGGGGCAUCGGGCUGAGUCACAGGACGUUUGGGUAGGACUGAAACCUGUGCAGACAGCUCAGAACUCUCCGGGAAGAAGGUAUCUUAGCUUUCUCUUCAGACUUCACCUAAUUAUUUUUAAACAAGUUACAGAGACAGAGGGAGAGACAGACAGACAGACCUUCCAUCCACUGGUUCACGCCCCAAAUGGCGACAGUGGCCAGGGCUGGGCCAGGCUGAAGCCAGGAGCCAGGAGCGUCUUCCGUAGCUCCCACAGGGGUGCAGGGGCCCAAGGAUUUGGGCCGUCUUCUACUGCUUUCCCAGGCCAUAGCAAAGAGCAGGACUGGAAGCAGAUCAACUGGGACUCCAACCAGCACCCAAGUGGGAUGCAGGCAGCUUAACCCACUGCGCCUCAGCACUGGUCC